GGCGGGGUGGCCGAAUGUUCAGGCGGCGGAUUGUAGUCCCGUAAACGGAGGUUUAAUUCCUCUCCACGUCA
rnacentral:tRNA from 1 species